rnacentral:rRNA from 1 species
UAGGGAAUAUUGGGCAAUGGAUGCAAGUCCGACCCAGCCAUGCCGCGUGCCGGAUGAAGGCCCUCAGGGUUGUAAACGGCUUUUAUUCGGGAAGAAGAGCACGGAUGCGUCUGUGCGUGACGGUACCGAAUGAAUAAGCACCGGCUAACCUCGUGCCAGCAGCCGCGGUUAUACGGAGGGUGCGAGCGUUUCCCGGAUUUAUUGGGUUUAAAGGGUGCGUAGGUGGCUUUUUAAGUCAGUGGUGAAAUACAACCGCUCAACGGUUGAAGUGCCUUUGAUACUUAAAGGCUUGAAACCAGUGGAGGCUGGCGGAAUGGAUCAUGUAGCGGUGAAAUGCAUAGAUAUCAUCCAGAACACCGAUUGCGAAGGCAGGUGGCUACGUUUGAAUUGACACUGAGGCGCGAAAGCAUGGGGAGCAAACA